CCAGACUCCUACGGGAGGCAGCAGCGAGGAAUAUUGGUCAAUGGGCGAGAGCCUGAACCAGCCAAGUCGCGUGAGGGAAGACGGUCCUAUGGAUUGUAAACCUCUUUUGUCGGGGAGCAAAAAGGCCUCGUGAGGCCACAAGUGAGAGUACCCGAAGAAAAAGCAUCGGCUAACUCCGUGCCAGCAGCCGCGGUAAUACGGAGGAUGCGAGCGUUAUCCGGAUUUAUUGGGUUUAAAGGGUGCGUAGGCGGAACAUUAAGUCAGCGGUAAAAUCGAGGGGCUCAACCCCUUUAAGCCGUUGAAACUGGUGAUCUUGAGUGGGCGAGAAGUAUGCGGAAUGCGUGGUGUAGCGGUGAAAUGCAUAGAUAUCACGCAGAACUCCGAUUGCGAAGGCAGCAUACCGGCGCCCGACUGACGCUGAGGCACGAAAGCGUGGGGAUCGAACAGGAUUAGAUACCCCAGUA
rnacentral:rRNA from 1 species